rnacentral:rRNA from 1 species
UUUCGCAAUGCCCGAAAGGGUGACGAAGCGACGCCGCGUGGGUGAGGAAGGCCUUCGGGUUGUAAAACCCUGUCAGGAGUUAAGAAAUGUAAGUGCGCUAAUAUCGCAUUUAUUUGACGAAGGCUCCAAAGGAAGCCACGGCUAACUCUGUGCCAGCAGCCGCGGUAAUACAGAGGUGGCAAGCGUUGUUCGGAAUUAUUGGGCGUAAAGAGCACGUAGGUGGGUUUGUAAGUCAGAUGUGAAAGCCUUCUGUUCAACGGAAGAACGGCAUCUGAAACUGCAGAUCUUGAGUAUAGGAGGGGAGAGUGGAACUUCUGGUGGAGCGGUGAAAUGCGUAGAUAUCAGGAGAAACGCCGGCGGCGAAGGCGACUCUCUAGUCGAUUCGAGACGCUGAGGUGCGAAAGCUAGGGGAGCAAACAGGAUUAGAUACCCUGGUAGUCCUAGCCGUAAACGAUGGGCACUAAGUAGAGGGGUUUUA